GAUGAAUGCUGGCGGCGUGCUUAACACAUGCAAGUCGAGCGGCAGCGCGGGGUUCUUGCACCGUGUCGGCGAGCGGCGAACGGCAGAGUCACGUGUAGGAAUUUGCCCCAAGGUGAGGAAUAACUGAUCGAAAGGGUGGCUAAUGCGGCAAAGGGUUUCUGGAGUAAAGUAUUUAUGCGCUAUGGGAGAAGGUUGGGUUGGAUUAGGUUGUUGGUAGGGUAAUGGCCUACCAAGUCGACGAUCCAUAGCUGGUCUGAUAGGAUGAUCAGCCAGACUUGAACUGAGACCCGGUCCAGACUCCUACGGGGGGCAGCAGUGAGGAAUCUUCCGCAAUGGGCGGAAACCUGGUGGCGCAACGCCGCGGUAAGGGUGAAGGCCUUCGGGUUGUAAACUUCUUUUAUGCGUGGAGAAUAUGACGGUAACUCGUAAAUAAGCACCGGCUAACUACGUG
rnacentral:rRNA from 1 species